GCCUGGGUGGCUCAGUUGGUUGAGCGUCCGACUUAGGCUCGUAGCUCGUGGGUUCGAGCCCCACGUUGGGCU